GACCUGGUCGGGCUUCACUGUCCGCACUGGCUUGGUGGAUUCCUACCUUCUGAAUAACCAGCAUGCUAUUAAGUUAGUGCGUUGGGGAAGCAGAGCUAUUACCUUGAAAAAAUUAGAGUGCUUAAAGCAGGCUUGUGCUUGAAUAGAUUAGCAUGGAAUAAUAAAAUAGGACGGCAUGGUUCUAUUUUGUUAGUUUCUAGGAUCACCGUA
rnacentral:rRNA from 1 species